rnacentral:rRNA from 1 species
GUUGGGUAGGGGAGCGUUCUGUAAGCCUGUGAAGGUGGCCUGUGAGGGUUGCUGGAGGUAUCAGAAGUGCGAAUGCUGACAUAAGUAACGAUAAAGCGGGUGAAAAGCCCGCUCGCCGGAAGACCAAGGGUUCCUGUCCAACGUUAAUCGGGGCAGGGUGAGUCGACCCCUAAGGCGAGGCCGAAAGGCGUAGUCGAUGGGAAACGGGUUAAUAUUCCCGUACUUGGUGUUACUGCGAAGGGGGGACGGAGAAGGCUAUGUUGGCCGGGCGACGGUUGUCCCGGUUUAAGCGUGUAGGCUGGUUUUCCAGGCAAAUCCGGUUCACUUUAACACUGAGGCGUGACGACGAGGCACUACGGUGCUGAAGCAACAAAUGCCCUGCUUCCAGGAAAAGCCUCUAAGCAUCAGGUAACAUCAAAUCGUACCCCAAACCGACACAGGUGGUCAGGUAGAGAAUACCAAGGCGCUUGAGAGAACUCGGGUGAAGGAACUAGGCAAAAUGGUGCCGUAACUUCGGGAGAAGGCACGCUGACACGUAGGUGAAGUGAUUUACUCAUGGAGCUGAAGUCAGUCGAAGAUACCAGCUGGCUGCAACUGUUUAUUAAAAACACAGCACUGUGCAAACACGAAAGUGGACGUAUACGGUGUGACGCCUGCCCGGUGCCGGAAGGUUAAUUGAUGGGGUCAGCGCAAGCGAAGCUCCUGAUCGAAGCCCCGGUAAACGGCGGCCGUAACUAUAACGGUCCUAAGGUAGCGAAAUUCCUUGUCGGGUAAGUUCCGACCUGCACGAAUGGCGUAAUGAUGGCCAGGCUGUCUCCACCCGAGACUCAGUGAAAUUGAACUCGCUGUGAAGAUGCAGUGUACCCGCGGCAAGACGGAAAGACCCCGUGAACCUUUACUAUAGCUUGACACUGAACAUUGAGCCUUGAUGUGUAGGAUAGGUGGGAGGCUUUGAAGUGUGGACGCCAGUCUGCAUGGAGCCGACCUUGAAAUACCACCCUUUAAUGUUUGAUGUUCUAACGUGGACCCGUAAUCCGGGUUGCGGACAGUGUCUGGUGGGUAGUUUGACUGGGGCGGUCUCCUCCUAAAGAGUAACGGAGGAGCACGAAGGUUGGCUAAUCCUGGUCGGACAUCAGGAGGUUAGUGCAAUGGCAUAAGCCAGCUUGACUGCGAGCGUGACGGCGCGAGCAGGUGCGAAAGCAGGUCAUAGUGAUCCGGUGGUUCUGAAUGGAAGGGCCAUCGCUCAACGGAUAAAAGGUACUCCGGGGAUAACAGGCUGAUACCGCCCAAGAGUUCAUAUCGACGGCGGUGUUUGGCACCUCGAUGUCGGCUCAUCACAUCCUGGGGCUGAAGUAGGUCCCAAGGGUAUGGCUGUUCGCCAUUUAAAGUGGUACGCGAGCUGGGUUUAGAACGUCGUGAGACAGUUCGGUCCCUAUCUGCCGUGGGCGCUGGAGAACUGAGGGGGGCUGCUCCUAGUACGAGAGGACCGGAGUGGACGCAUCACUGGUGUUCGGGUUGUCAUGCCAAUGGCACUGCCCGGUAGCUAAAUGCGGAAGAGAUAAGUGCUGAAAGCAUCUAAGCACGAAACUUGCCCCGAGAUGAGUUCUCCCUGAGACUUAGAGUCUCCUGAAGGAACGUUGAAGACGACGACGUUGAUAGGCCGGGUGUGUAAGCGCAGCGAUGCGUUGAGCUAACCGGUACUAAUGAACCGUGAGGCUUAACCUUACAACGCCGAAG